AACGAACGCUGGCGGCAGGCCUAAAACAUGCAAGUCGAACGCCCCGCAAGGGGAGUGGCGCACGGGUGAGUAACGCGUGGGAACGUGCCCUUCAGUACGGGACAACGUCGGGAAACUGACGCUAAUACCGUAUAAUAUCUCCGGAUCAAAGAUUUAUCGCUGAGGGAGCGGCCCGCGUCUGAUUAGCUAGUUGGCGAGGUAAUGGCUCACCAAGGCUACGAUCAGUAGCAGGUCUGAGAGGAUGAUCUGCCACACUGGGACUGAGACACGGCCCAGACUCCUACGGGAGGCAGCAGUUAGGAAUAUGGGACAAUGGGGGAAACCCUGAUCCAGCCAUGCCGCGUGUGUGAUGAAGGCCCUAGGGUUGUAAAGCACUUUCGUUGGGGAUGAUAAUGACCGUACCCAAAGAAGAAGCCACGGCUAAAUUCGUGCCAGCAGCCGCCGCGG
rnacentral:rRNA from 1 species